AUGUUUAGAUUUGAAGCCAAGUGGUUGCAAGAGGAAGAAUGUCAGACAAUAGUGAAUAAUGCAUGGGCUAAAGCCUCACUCACAGGAGGUCAAAGCACUUCGGAGAUGUUAAAAGCAGUGGCACAUGACCUCCAAGACUGGGACUCUAAUGUCUUGGGUGACCUUCAGAAAAGAAUUAAGAAGGAACUAGAAAAUGUGAGAAGGCAGGACAUCAACAAAGAAUCGGUUGCCAGGGAACAUUUCCUCAGAGACAAACUAGAUCGGUUGGAACACCAAUGGGAUACUUUUUGGAGACAAAGGGCUCACGUCAAGUGGCUUCAAGCAGGGGAUAAAAAUACGGCUUUCUUCCAUGCCUUUGCAUCGAAAAGGAAGAAAAAGAACACCUUG
rnacentral:rRNA from 1 species